ACCAGAGGUGUCUUACACAGAACAUCAUUAGUCCUUUGAUGAAUUGCAAUCAUCCUGCUCAUCAGUCUGGUACCAGCUGCUCAUCAGUUAAACUGCUGAGCUUUGCUGAUGUAGACAUUAGCAUCUGCAAUUCUUUCAAAAUCAACAGUUGCCCUGGAACUCAGUCCCAAAGAAAUUGGUUUUUAAGUUAGGCAUAUAAGUUUAUUGUCUUACAGCCAUGCAUUGUCAUACCCACACUGAGAAUUCACCAAGGAGCUCACAGGAACCACAAGCUGAGGAGAUCCUGGGCCACUCUAAGGAUUAAUGAGGUGACAGGUCUUUUCCAAAAAACAACUGACUGCUAUGAUCAACAUGUUUUGCUCAAAAAUAUCUCUGACUUAUUUUGUGAAAUGUCAGAAUAAUAAACCAUUUUUCGUCUGGAAGCUGGCCUGAAAUUUGCAAAAACUGCUGCAAAGCCCAGACUUUUCAGCUGUAGCCAAACUACCCCACCUUGCGCGUGUUUUUUCAAGGAUGUAACAAUCACUGGGCUUUGGCUGGACAUCUGAUAUUUUCUAGAAUCACUAAUUUUAAUUGGUGAUGUUAAAACUACAAGGCUCCUAACACAGGUCAAGGCUGGAUUGCAGACAAGACAAAGCUGACCAGAUGGUUGUGCUGCCAUUCAGGAGGACCUUGUCAGGCUGGAGAAGUGGCUGGUAGACCCAUCCGAAGUCCCACAAAGGGAAGAGCCAAGUCCUGCUCCAGAGGAACGAUCCCAUGCACAAGUACAGACUGGGGACCAGGUCUGUAAAGAAGGAGAUGAAGGUGAUGAGAGACACAAAACGGCACAUAGGAGGUGUUCCCUGGAAAAAAAAAAGGUCAACAGCUCUCUCUGCAUUGGGCAGAGCAGUGAUGGAAGGUCAAACUACCUAAGCUGGUUCUAAAUGAGUUAAAUGCAGGCUUUGAAAUUCACACAUUUUAUCUAAGCAGUUUUAGAUGCACAUCUUCUAGUAAUUUCUUCAAGUAUUAUUAUUAUUAUUUCAAGUAACAUUUUCAAGUGCUUAUUUAUUCCUAUGACUAUAUCAGCUUAAGACAGAGACAUGCUUAAAUAAGUCCUGUCUGUACUGAAUAAAUUCUCAUUUAUUCAAUAAGAAAAUGGGUUAACUUGGAUGCAGAACUACACAACUGCAAUUCAUAUGCUGCCACAAGCUUGUGUCCACACAGUGCUGCACUGAGCUUUAUAGAUGUAUCAGUUUGAGCUGCCCUAACCCAUGAUCUCUGAAAUCUGUACAGCAUUGCACAAAUAUUUAUUUUUUGCAGUGAUAAAUCUAGAAAUUAGUUGCAAAAUUUUAUUUGGAGAUUUCUUUCCUGUGGAUAUUUCAAUUUUAAAGAGACAUACCAGGAUUCAAUGAGAUGUCAUUUUGAAGGAAAAGAGCUGUCCAAAAUAUCAAGGUAUGUUCUGGUUCAUCUUGUAUCACUGGACCUGUGAUCAGUGGAUCAUCAAGCCUUUGUUGAUGCCUUGUUUUCUAAUGGAGAUAAAUUCAGCACAAGCCAGGAAAGGUCUGUUGCUUUCAUUGGAUGAGCAAUCCACAUGUGCAUCAAACAUCUGACAAAAAUUUAGUUACUCAGAAUGUCAGGUCAAUUUUGACUACUGCCCUCUGUUGUUUUAGAAAUUUCAUUGUUUUUUAAAAAUGUCAAUUUAAAUUUAUCCAAGGUUUACAUGGAUCUUAAGGAAUGUGACUUCUGGAUCCUCAUUCCUAUGGUUUUUCAUUUCAGUUAUCCUAGCUUUCCUUGUAAAAUGGGUGGUGUUCUGGUUUUGCCUUCUCUGUUGUCCCCCGUUGGUGUCUCCUGAACUCUCUAAGGAGAAAGGAGUGAGAUGAGUCCAGAAUAUAAAAGAAUAUAAAAGAUUAAAGUCUGUUUGUAAAUCCAUUAAGAGUUUCUAGUUUUUAAACAGAUUUUACUGGCCAUUAAAAUUCUGAUGCCUUUGCCUGACAAAGAUUGUAAUGAGAAUAGAAAAUGGCAUUAAAUGGAAUCCAUUCUGAAGAUGAUUGCAAAAGAUACAAGCCUAACUCAUUCUCAUUAUAGCUUUGUGUUGGUAUAAUUGAGAAUGUUAUUCAGAUACCUGAAAUACUUGGAGAGAAUUUUAUUGUGAUUGUAAAAAGGUGCUACUUAAUUUAAUUUAAAAUUGGAAUUGCAGUUGGCUACUUUUGACAUCCUGCAAAUGGCACAGGAGAGGCUGACACUGACUUUGUGCAGCCCUGCCAGGAGUAUUUUUCUCUUGCAUAAUCCCAGCUACUGACAUUCAGGACAUCUAUGUGUGAGUUUAAGACUCAAUUUGUGAUCAUCCACAAAGCUGACCUGUCAGCUGUUCCUGUCUUAGUUUAGAGUGAAGCCAGGCUGCAGGAAGACCCUUAAUGUUUAGAUUCUGUUGAAACAUGUCUUUUUCCUUGUGUGCAUGUGUGCAUGAUCCCAAGGACAUCAGCUCAAUAUUUACUUCCAGGCAGGGUUGUUUGGGGAUUUUUUUUUAUUUUUUUUUUGUGACUGUGUCUCCUAUGAAAGAUCUCACUGUGGCCUGCCUAGGAAUCUGAGAAGACUCAAUUCAAACUGCUGAACCAAGCUAAAAUGAAAGCACAAAUUUAAGGAAUGCUCAUGCAUCUCUUGGAGUCGAUGGUUUUCAGCAAAACAGUAAAGAUGUUCUGUAAUUGAAUGGAAGGAGUUAAUUAAUUAAUUCCUGUGAAGUUUUAAACAGGCAAGCCAUGCCAUAACAGGCACCAUUUGCUAAAACAUCAGUGGAAAAAAAUGGAAAUUUGGUUUGCAGCUGCUGAAGAACAUUACAUUUACAUCUUAUUUUUCCACUUUCAUGGAAAAAAAUCUUUAGCUACUCUGCCUAAAAAAAUAAAAUACAUCUAUCUUUUGCAGUGAUUUUAGAGAUAACCUGGUAGUAAAAAACCUUGACAAAUUAUUGAAGUUUAGAGUUCAGAGUUCUAAUUAAGGAAUAAACCUUUGCACUUUUGUCUUAGAUAAAAUGCUGGCAAUGUUUCACAAGCCUGGCUUCCAGAUUCAAAAUCCAGACUCUUGGAGACUAAAAAUCUUAGCUUUACCUAUGUAUCAUAUCCAGAUUUCCUCACUUCUAAGAGCAGUACAAUCAACAGCCAAUAAAUUGUAAUACAAAUUAACACCAUUUAUUUAGUCACUACUAAAACCCACAGAAUAAGGAAAAAAAAAAGAUAAAGCAAAGACCCAAGUAUGGCAUUGUAUUUCAGGGAAGAUCAUUGGAACCCGCUCUCACUUCUUGUCCUUGAGUAGUGUAACACAAAGAUUAGUUGUAUCAGAAAUUCAGGGUGAAAGCUGUAUUAUUCUGUUUCAAGUAUCAUUUACCCUUUGAGAAGUAAGAUGUAGAACAGAGCAGCAGGGAAGGAACUAGUGGUUUCUCAGACACCCAGCAAAGACUGAGGAUUUUGGCAGGAAAAAUAUCUUUUAUAAAAUUUGUAAGAAUGAUGGAAAAUAUACUUCAAAUUUAAUAGCGAUUAUGUAAUUGUUUAGUUUUAAAUAUGUUUUAUUUUAU